AUCCUUUUGUAGUUCAUAAGCGUGAUGAUUGGGUUUUCACAUUUGUGUGUGAGAUGAGCCUCCCUCAAACCUUGUUAUGACAUUGGCACAUUACUUGUUUGACG
rnacentral:snoRNA from 1 species